rnacentral:lncRNA from 1 species
GCUGGCUGGUGGGUCUUGCCAGUUGCUUGGCCCGGUGAGUCCGUGGUGAAGGAAUUGAGCCGAAAUUCUCUGGAAACUGUUGGUGUCUGCAAGUGAGUGUGGGUCCCCUCCCCCAUUCUCGAUCGUUCCAAGCGAAAUCGACACACAUACGCUUUGGGGAAAAAUUGGGAGUGGGAGUGGGGAUCGAACAUUAAGGAACCAAACCAUCGUGAUUUCCGUUCCUGCCGGACCCCUCACACCCGCUUUACCCGACCGCUUUCCCAGAAGGGGGUGGCGAGGGCAGGGGUAUGCGCCUCGGCUGCUGCGGCGUUUGAAUAUUGGCCCCUGUCUCUCGGGUUACUGAUUAGCUCGGGCUUUCAAGCCCCAGGAGGAAGCUCUGGCUGCUCCUUUCAAGGUGCUGUGGCCCCAGUUCCUGGGCAGGGGCUCCAGGAAAUUGCCUGCGGUGCCAGGCAGGCCGAGGUGUUACUAGGGUCUGGCCCAGAGCUGGAGGAGCUGCCGAGGUCGAGGGGACCCAGCCGUGCCGGGGGGCAAACCCAGCGGCUGCGGUCCCCGCAUCUAUGGCACCUCGAGUCUGGACCACAGGAGCUGCCCUUUCAGCUUUCCGGCAGCAAGAGUGACCUUCAGCGGCCAGAAGGCCGGGCCCAGUGCGGAGGCCCCCAGGGAGCCGCUGGACGCUGGAAAGUCUUGGGCCCCGAUUUCUUGUGGGCAACCCGAAGGACAGAUACACACUUCCUCAGUGAGGCUGGGAGAGACACCCCAGACUGGCAGACAGCUCUGUGCCUGGUGGGUAUUUACUUAUUCCCCCUUGGAGACAGACAGACAGACAGACAGACGGUGGUGGUGGACCGAACCACAGACAAAUUCGUAGAGAUCUGGCUCCAGAAACCAGGCGGCCUCUGGCCGGGCCCUGCCCGUCUGCUCUUUCUCCCAAACAAACGGAUCAGACGAAUAAACGCUCAUAAAUACCUCUGGGCUUAGAUAAGAGCGAUGAGGCGCUAUUUCCUUUCAUGCCGGACUCCAGGCGCCCAGGCCCUGCCUUUGCGGCUCCAUCUCACAACAGGCAACCUGCAGAGGUGACGUUAAUUUGGGGCUGUGACUCUUAAGGACAAGGCAGUCAUUUUGGUGCUCCUAUCACAGGGAAGUUUCCCUCCCUUACGACAUCCUACUUGGUCCAGACUCUACAGUAUGCCCACACCGUCCAGUUCUAGGAAGGGGACAUUGUGGCCAGGGAGGAGGCAGGACGGAUGUGGUCCAAGGCCCAGCCUCAGUGGCAGGGAGGAGGGAGGUGCACACAGGCACUCUGCUGACCUUGCUCCCCCAGACCAAAUGUUUC